GAUUUCUGGCCUGAACCAUUUUGCCGGCCACGGUUUCGUGUGUUAGUGCUUGAUGGUCUGGCCAUCCUUCCAAUCGCCGUUGGGCGCUCUUCAUUGAGUGCUCGGCGGUAUUGGAUCUUUUACUUUGAAAAAAUUAGAGUGUUUCAAGCAGGCUUUAUGCUAUGAAUACAUUAGCAUGGAAUAAUAAUUUAGGACUUCGGUUCUAUUUUGUUGGUUUCUAGGACUGAAGUAAUGAUUGAUAGGGAUAGUUGGGGGUGCUAGUAUUCAGCGGCCAGAGGUGAAAUUCUCGGAUUCGCUGAAGACUAACUUAUGCGAAAGCAUU
rnacentral:rRNA from 1 species